GGCCGGGUAGCUCAGUCGGUAGAGCAACGGACUGAAAAUCCGUGUGUCGGCGGUUCGAAUCCGUCCCCGGCCA
rnacentral:tRNA from 1 species